rnacentral:rRNA from 1 species
AAGUCGUAACAAGGUUUCCGUAGGUGAACCUGCGGAAGGAUCAUUAUUGAAUGAACUUGGUGUGGUUGUUGCUGGCUCUUUCGGGGGCAUGUGCACACCCAUCAUCCUCAUCUCUCCACCUGUGCACCUCUUGUAGAUUUGGAUUGACUUUCCGAGGCAACUCGGUCGGGAGGACUUGCUGGCAUUAGCUGGCUUUCCUUGCAUUUCCAAGUCUAUGUUUUUCAUAUACCCCAUUGAAUGUAACAGAAUGUAACAUAUUGGGCCUUUGUGCCUAUAAAAACUUAUACAACUUUCAGCAACGGAUCUCUUGGCUCUCGCAUCGAUGAAGAACGCAGCGAAAUGCGAUAAGUAAUGUGAAUUGCAGAAUUCAGUGAAUCAUCGAAUCUUUGAACGCACCUUGCGCUCCUUGGUAUUCCGAGGAGCAUGCCUGUUUGAGUGUCAUUAAAUUCUCAACUAUUAUCAGCUUUUGUUGAUAAUGGCUUGGAUAUGGGGGUUUAUUUUGCUGGCUUCUUCACAGAUUGUCAGCUCCCCUUAAAUGCAUUAGCCGGUGCCCCGCGUGGACUGUCUAUUGGUGUGAUAAUUAUCUACGCCGUGGACAUCUACAAUCAUAUGGGUUUGCACUGCUUCCAACCGUCUGUUUAUUCAGACAAUACAUGACAAUUGACCUC